rnacentral:rRNA from 2 species
CCACGGUGUGAUUCAUGACUGGGGUGAAGUCGUAACAAGGUAGCCGUAGGGGAACCUGCGGCUGGAUCACCUCCUUA